rnacentral:lncRNA from 1 species
AUCGACGUUCGCAACUCCUUGAAGCAGGUUCCACUCUUGAUUUUUAUAAACUAUUAGUAUUUCAGUUUAUGCCUUUGCUUUCUUCUGCAUAUAUUGGGGAUGAACCAUAUAGUUGAUAUUUAUAUCUACUACUAUUGUUUAUGAAAUGAAAGUGGAAUGCAUAUCUUGUAUUAGUUUGACUAAAAGUAGUUUCCAAUCUCUCUUGUUUUGCUAUUCUAUGUCCCUUUAAUUUUUGCAUAUCUUGUUUCCUUGCUGUGAACUUCUAGAAGAGUGAAGCAAGACUAAGAUGGUUUAGGCAUGUACAGAGGAAGUGCAUUGACGCCUAGUGAGAAAGUGCAAUAGGUUGGUUGUAAGGGAUAAGCGAAGGGGUAAAGGUAGGUCGAAAAAGUCCUAAGGAGGUGAUUAGACAGGACAUAAUGCAACUUUAUGUUGUCAAGUACAUGACUCUAGAUAAGGAGUGGGGUCAUGUAUUUGGGUAGAAGGUUAGUAGGGGUGAAGUGUUAUCUUGCCUUGCGAAGGUUUAGGCUUGUUGAGUUUGUCAUAGUACUUGUUACCCUUGUAAUUCUUGUCAUAUGUUGUUUGUUGUGUUUUAAUUAUCGCAUUAUUUUGUUGUUCUUAUAGAUUCUUUCUUAUAAACUUUACACUACUUUCUUAUUUGCUGCUAUGUUUUCCUUAUUGUUUUUUUUCUUUUACUUUGAUUUGAUGCGCGUGCUACAACCGAGAAUCUUUUGAAAAUAGUUUUUCUACCUCUAUGAGGUAGUGGUAAGAUUUGGUACACUAUACCUCUCAGGCCCCACUUAGUGAAAUUUCAUUGGGUAUAUUGUUGAUGUAAAUGAUACUGAACGAAAGCAAUUAUGAAAGAAAAGAAAUUACAACAACAAUAUACAUAGUGAAAUUCUACAAGAAGGGUCUUGGAAGGGUAGAGUGUAUGUAGACCUUACCACUACCUCGUGUAGAUAGAGAGGUUGUUUUCGAAAGAGUCUCGGCUCAAGUGCAACAAAUUCUAGUACAAAGAAUUAAUAAAACAGUAUAAAAAAACAUAUCAACUAACAAGGGAAGCGGUGGAAAGCCUACAAGAACAACAAAAUAAUGCUAUAAUUAAAACACUAGUAAAAACAGACGACGAUAGAUAUCAAAAGCAAGAACUACAAUAAUACGGUUAGUACAACGACAAGCCUGAACUCGUGAAAAGCAAGACAACACUCCACUACCAUCUACCCUAGUACCUAUCCUCCAGACUCUCUUAUCUAAGGUCAUGUCAUCGACAACUUGAAGGUGUGUCGUGUCCUAUCUAAUCACUCAUCCCUAACACUUCUUUGGCCUACCUCUCCCCAUACCUACUAUAGCCAACCUCUCGCACCUCCUUAGUAAAUGUCAGCACAUCUCUUCAUAUGUCCAAACCAUCUCAGUCAGACUUCCCUCGUCAAAAAAAGUUACAAAGAGCAAAAUAACACUAAACUAUACUCUUUUUUUUUGGAAGGGGUGGUUACUCCAGUUGAAAUAUCAAAGCAAAUAGCUAUUUCGAGCAACCAUAAAUUAGUUUGAAGUUUGAACCAUAUAGAGAACCUGUGUAGUUGGUAGAUGUUUAUUCACAGCAGCAAGAGAUUAGAGAUAACUUAGCUUGAGCCAUACAACAAACCUCAUAAAUCCAAGUGUCUAAGUAUUUAUAGUGAUAGUUUUAAAAAAAUUACUAAACAUAGCUAUACUUUGGAUUUUAUAGUGAAUCCCUAAAAAUAUACCUUAUUGUAUCCCCUGACUCUUUCCUCGUUCUUCCUCGUUGAUGUCCAUUGAUUUAGAACCCCCCCCCCCCCCCCCCCCUUCUGUUUUUCAUCAACUUCGAAUCCAAAAUUUUGUAGACAAAAAUUCUUUAAGAUAUUCCUCAAUUUCACUUUCCAAAAUUUCAAUUCCUUUAAAUUCUAAAUUUCUUAUCCACAUCAAUUUUGUGUUUCAAAUAAUGGAAUAGAAGAAAAAAAAUAUAGAACUUCAUCAGAUUCCUAUCUCUUUAAUCCUGCACCCACCAUCUCAACAUUGCUCGAAAAAAAGGUUUCACGCGUUAUAAACUAAAAACUAGUGCAAAAGUGAAUUACACAAGGAGAGAGGGAGGGGGUGGGAGGAUUCAAGACUCAAAAGAAUUAGUGAAAGUUAAUAUCAUUUUGCAUAUGAUGGCCAGAAGGAAAGAAAUGACAGAUGUUUUGAAGAUAGAGAUCUAGAAUUCACAAAGUAAAAUGGUUAGAUCAAAUUAUAAAAGUUAUAGGGAGCUUGCAAUUAUGGUUAGAGUUGUAAAUUUUUGAAGGUGACCAACAUGUCCUUAAUGCUAAAACAUACAACUUUUACCAAUGUUUCAGCAUUAAGAACAUGCUAAUGGCCACCUUCAAAAAUUUCGACCCUAAUUGAAAUUGCAAGCUCUCUAACUUCUAUAAUUUGAUCUACAUGUUCCAUUCAAAGCUGUUUACACCAAAAGAGUAAGAAUACUAAACUAUUUCAUAUUACUUUGUGAAUAAAAUUAGAUCUAUCUUCAAAACAUCUCCCAUUUCUUUCCUUCCACACUGACCACCAUAUACAUGAUGGUAUUAGCUUCCACCACUUCUUUUGAGUCUUGGAUCCCCCCCCCCCCUCUCUCUUCUAUGUAAUUAACUUUCAGUUUAUAACGCGUGAUAUCUUUUGUGUUGAGCAAUGGUGGUUGUUGUAUUAAGGAGAUAGGAACAACUAUUGACUGAUUAGUGAUUAUGCACUCGAAAGGGGGAGGGUAGGAGGGAGAUAGAGAAAAAAUGGCUGUUAUAUAUCAACUUAUAAUCUAAGCUUUAUUUUACUUGUAUUUGUUGCUCAAGCCACUUGAACUGAUUGAACAAAACCAAUUGCUGCACAAGAUUGAUUUAUGUUGUUAUAUAUAUUGCUUUCUAACACCCUUCGGGGUGGCCCAGUGGUUUGGGCUUGGGACUUCCAUGUUGGAGGUCUCAAGUUCGAAACCCCUUGCCAGCAAAAGCAAGGGGUUUGCCUUCUGGGUCGAGCUAGUCGCACCAGGCUUGCCUAGUGCGGGUUACCUCUCCUAUGUGGUUUGCGAGCUAUUGCAUAGGAGCGGGUAUAUUGCUCUCUAACAUUUACAUUACUUCUUAUUUGGGAGCUUUGGAGCAUCAUACACUUGAAGUGAAAAUUGGAAGCAAUUGGGAAGAUGUUAGCAAAUUAUAUAUAUGAAACCUCUUUUCAAGAGUUCUCUUUUACUUUGGUACUUUCGAUCAAACCUCCUAUCUAGGAACGGAGCUACAAUGUUAUGUGUGGGCGGGUCGAACGAAUCCAAUAAUUGUAGUGUAAAUUCUAUAUUUAUAUUAGAAAACAUUGUAACUAUACAAAUGCGAGC